rnacentral:tRNA from 1 species
AUUUAUAUAGUUUAAUAAAAACAUUACAUUUUCACUGUAAAAAUAAAGAAUUUUCUUUUAUAAAUU